rnacentral:rRNA from 1 species
GACGAACGCUGGCGGCGUGCUUAACACAUGCAAGUCGAACGGUGAAGCGCCUUCCUUUUUGGUGGGUGUGGAUGAGUGGCGAACGGGUGCGUAACACGUGAGUAACCUGCCCCCUUCUUCUGGAUAACCGCAUGAAAGUGUGGCUAAUACGGGAUAUUCUGGGUCUGUCGCAUGAUGGGUCUGGGAAAGAUAUUGUUUCGGUGGGGGAUGGGCUCGCGGCCUAUCAGCUUGUUGGUGGGGUGAUGGCCUACCAAGGCGGUGACGGGUAGCUGGCCUGAGAGGGUGGACGGUCACACUGGGACUGAGACACGGCCCAGACUCCUACGGGAGGCAGCAGUGAGGAAUAGUGCACAAUGGGCGCAAGCCUGAUGCAGCGACGCCGCGUGAGGGAUGGAGGCCUUCGGGUUGUGAACCUCUUGCGCCAGUGAAGCAGGCCUGCCUCGUUUGUGGGUGGGUUGACGGUAGCUGGAUAAGAAGCGCCGGCUAACUACGUG